CAACUAAAACACACAAAACAUACUGAAAAUAAAGGAAAGCGAUAAAAAUCUCCUCCCACACUUAAACCAAACAUUGUCCUCAAUGUUUCGAUAGGACAUAGGAUAGGAGUAACCUGAAAAAGAGAGAACUAUGGCUGAUCAUCGACACCAUCACCGCCCUGGUCAGGAUGCCUGGGUCGACCACUCCUACUACAACGGCUAAGACAUUUC
rnacentral:lncRNA from 1 species